rnacentral:rRNA from 1 species
GAGAAUUUUUCUCAAUGGGGGAAACCCUGAAGGAGCGACGCCGCGUGGAGGAUGAAGGUCUUCGGAUUGUAAACUCCUGUCAUUGGUGAACAAAGUCACAGGUUAACUGCCUUGUGAUCUGCUAGUAGCCGAAGAGGAAGGGACGGCUAACUCUGUGCCAGCAGCCGCGGUAAUACAGAGGUCCCGAGCGUUGUUCGGAUUCAUUGGGCGUAAAGGGUGCGUAGGCGGCGGUGUAAGUUGGAUGUGAAAUCUUGGGGCUUAACCUCAAAAUCGCAUUCAAUACUGCUCCGCUCGAGCGCUGUAGAGGAGAUUGGAAUUUACGGUGUAGCAGUGAAAUGCGUAGAUAUCGUAAGGAACACCAGUGGCGAAAGCGAAUCUCUGGACAGCAGCUGACGCUGAGGCACGGAGGCCAGGGGAGCAAA